rfam:Triticum aestivum genome assembly, contig: Triticum_aestivum_CS42_TGACv1_scaffold_000132_1AL
GGGGUGGUGGCGCAGUUGGCUAGCGCGUAGGUCUCAUAGCUGAAACAAUUGCGAGUGAUCCUGAGGUCGAGAGUUCGAGCCUCUCUCACCCCA